AAUCAACGCUGGCGGCGUGCCUAACACAUGCAAGUUGUACGGGAUUAUUGGUAGCAAUACUGAUAUGAGAGUAGCGCACGGGUGCGUAACACGUAUGCAACCUACCUUUAACUGGGGAAUAGCUCACCGAAAGGUGAAUUAACACCGCAUAAAAUCACAGAAGGACAUCCUUUAAUGAUUAAAUCUCCGGAGGUUAAAGAUGGGCAUGCGUCCGAUUAGCUAGUUGGCGGGGUAACAGCCCACCAAGGCAACGAUCGGUAGGGGUCUGAGAGGAUGAUCCCCCACACUGGUACUGAGACACGGACC
rnacentral:rRNA from 1 species